CAAAUAUUUUAUCUGUCUCGUUCUCAUUUCAACAGAUUCUGCAAUGUAUCAAAAAUAAAGCGAGCAAAACUGAGGAUGGAGAAGAGCUCAAUUAGUGAAGGGGGUGAUGUCGCAGGAGAUGUAGUAAUCGCCCUCAAGAGAAGACGCACAGGAGAGAAAGAGCAAAGGACCAGGCAUGUUCUACCAGUGGAGUGCAUCAUAUGCAAGAAGAGCAAAUGGAUCCAGCAGCCAUAUGGACCGCGGAAAAAAGAGCCACUCACAAACUGUGAAUAUGAAAAAGGUGGACAACUUCUCAAGGCUGCUGAACUACUCAAUGAUGAAUCCAUCCUUCUUGAUAUUUAAGGUCAAGACAUGGUGGAAAUCGAAGUCCGGUAUCACAGAUCAUGCCACAAUAAUUACAUCAAGGUUUUGCAAGCAAGUGAUUGGCGGUCAAGCAGAGAAUCUGAAAAGGAGAGUGAAUCCCAAGAAUACAAGACAUUCUGUAGCAAAUACAUCGAAGAAAAAAAUCAUCUCUGAGGGGAGCGUCAUGAGAAUGACGAAGCUUCUGCACCUGUUAAGUCAAAUGUCUGAAGAAGCUGGAGUACCACCAUUAUUAAUUAAUUACCACAAAAUAAAACCUUUCCAAAUAGGACAUUGUUGAAAUCAAAUACUCUAUUUCAGGUAAAUGACAUAAUUCGGUAAUCUGCAAAUAAGUCUUUGAACUUCAUAUGUUAUGGAAAACUCGGUGAUAUCUUGAAAAAAAAAAUUGGGUGGUACAAAGUGUUGACUGUGGACAACUUAGCGUUACUUGUUGAUAGUUUGAGAAUUAGUUACCAUUUAUUGUUUGCAUCAAGGACUUUAUUUUAGGUAAAUGAAAUAAGUAAGUCUUCUUUAAAUAGUUUUUCCUUUCAUAAACAUAUAAGAACAAAACUUAGUGCUGUUAUAAUCCAAUUUGUUGCAAAAUUGCA